rnacentral:lncRNA from 1 species
AACGCCUGGAGUUGCUGCUGAUCCUUGUCCCAGCUUCUCCCAUGUUCUCGCUCUAUGUUUUUACCUUGAAAACUUCUGCUCUGAGCUGGGAAUGCCUGAAGGGCUUGCACGGAUAAAACAAGUAACAAAAGCAAAUGAAUGUGUCAAAGAUAUCAAGCUAAUUACCAGCAUGCUGUUUACUCAUAUGCAAGGCAGAUGAAUCCAUAGAUUGAUUUUAUCCAACAAAAGGGAAAACAAGCUUGAUACAAAUGGAAGAAGAGAGAAGGAGGAAAAACAAAACAUGGCCAAUAUGAGAAGAGUUCUCUGGUUUCCACAUUUGGAGGUAAGUGUUUAAUGCUCAGUUAAA